rnacentral:rRNA from 1 species
AUUGAACGCUGGCGGCGUGCUUAACACAUGCAAGUCGUGCGGUAACAGGCGUAGCAAUACGUGCUGACGAGCGGCGAACGGGUGCGUAAUACAUGGGAAUCUGCCUUUUAGUGGGGAAUAACCCGGCGAAAGCCGGGCUAAUGCCGCAUAAGAUCUUCGGAUGAAAGCGGGGGAUCGUAAGACCUCGCGCUGAUAGAUGAGCCCAUGCCGGAUUAGCAGUUGGUGAGGUAACGGCUCACCAAGGCGACGAUCCGUAGCUGGUCUGAGAGGACGGCCAGCCACACUGGGACUGAGACACGGCCCAGACUCCUACGGGAGGCAGCAGUGGGGAAUAUUGGAC